ACACAUCAGUGUUUGACAAGAUCAAUCAAUAGAUGUUUUUAAUAUUUUCAGCUACUACACCUAAAAAUAAGAAAAGUGUUCAUGAAAAAAAAAGAAAAGAAAAAGAAAAGCCACAUACAAAGAAUCAGGCCAAACCCACAUAAUUACUCUUAACUUAAGUGGUUCUUGCCUCCUAAAAUACCAGCACACAUUUAUAAUUAGCUAAUAAACUACAAAUGAAUAAUUACCUAGCACAAAGGGAGAAGGGAAGGAGGAUUUAAAACAUUACUCAGACACUUCAGCUUGUGCUGGAAAGGGAGAACCAAGAUCUCUACAAUUGCAAAUUUACUCUGGUUUAUAGGGUGCAAUUUACAUCUUUUACACAAGACCCAGCCAGAAGACCUUGACUGCAAGUGCCCAGUGAUGAAAAGUCUUCCCUGGACAUUGAGAUAACACUGCAAUGCAGCUACAGCUCAGACCUCUUUAGCUGGUGCAGACCAAGGAGUGGGUGUAACUGGCUGACGACUGCACGUGGGAAAUGACUGCCUCUCCUGCUGCUAGUGCCACAGGGAAGUUAACAAAGCUGCGGGCGGUACUGCUUUUCCAGCAGAGUUCCUCUGUCUUCGGGGCUCUCUCGAAGGGAGGUUCUGAGUUAGAUACAGGCUGGGGAAGUCCCUCUGCUCCACUGAAAACAUGAGGCCACCGAACAAGGAAGAGCAGCUAGGGCCUCCAUAAAGAGGGAUAGGGAACAAAUGUAAAGACUGUCCUCUGAAGAAGAGCGGAGCAUGAGAAGAUAUCCCUAAAAGACAAGCAGCGGAGUCAUAUUUCCGUAGUUACUUAACACCUGUAAUUUAUCAGCGAAUGCAGGACAGAGUGGACAUGGUUGUACAUGUUUUACCACAGUGAGUUAGGAAUAAAGAAUUAUUCCUUUACUUAUGGUUUUGAGUAAAAUAAGCACUUUGAAAAUUAGGUGACAUCUACUUCUGGAGACAAGGUCGAUCCGUCCUAAUGUUAAUUAACCUCUACAUCCAAUUUUAAUAACUGUGUAGAAAACAUAGGUAUAUCUUCAAGGGUAACUGAAACAGUAGAUGGCAGUGUGUUCUACAACACCCAACACACUCCCUGUGCGGACUGGAUUUUCCCAGAGUGAAUUUCAGAUGUUAUUUCGCCCUCUCCCCUCUGCUUAAGGCCCAGAUCCUCAAGUGGUGUAAACUGGCAUAGCAACACUACAUUUACACCACCACCUGAUACACAAUUUAUACCACCACCUGAUAAUCUGACCCCAAAGCGUAUCUAAAAAUCUGUGAAAUCACUACAGUCCUUCUGAAAUAAACAGAUUAAGCCAGAUCCUCAGCUGGUGUCAACUGUAGUUAAUGGAGCUACAUGCAGAAUACCGGCUGAGGAAUCUGGCCCAUUAUUUUUAAGAGGUAAAAGAAGUGAAGCAGGCAGGUAUAUUCAGCUUUCCUCUUUGUGAUGGUGAUGGCCCGAUUAUGCAGCGACUGCCUUGUGAGAGUGGUUUUCCCUCUGGGAUAGGGAGCAACUUAAAAAUGUUCAACUGGUAAUAUGGUCAUAAAGAUGUACUUGUGCAAUGAGAUGAACUGGGUGAUGCAUCACUACUCCUUUCAACUGGGGAUUAAAUGAACGACACUCCCAGAGGACAUUUGGAUACUACAUUCUAAUAUUGCUUUUCGGAGAAGUUGAUUUGGCUGGAUCUAUUGAAUUCUUACCCCCUCAGUGCCAUCCUUGAUUGCCAUUUUCCUGAUAACUUUCUGUUUAAACUCAUUAACUGGAACACCCCAUGCAAAAAAAUACAGAAGGAGCAGUAAAUCUGGUGUCUCUUUGUAAUAGGAUUAUUUCAGCUGCUUAUGCUAUGUGGACCACGCUAAAAUACCAUUUCCAUGUUAACUCUAUCAUAUAAUUAUUGCCAUUGGAACAGAACUAAUACAAUUGUUUACAA